rnacentral:rRNA from 1 species
CUUGGCGGCCAAAGUGGAGAGGUUUACCCGUUCCCAUUUCGAACACGGAAGUCAAGCUCUCCUACGGUCUGGGCAUUACUGGUUUCGGCUGGGAAACCCAGAUCGCUGCCAAUU